rnacentral:rRNA from 1 species
AUUGAACGCUGGCGGCAGGCCUAACACAUGCAAGUCGAACGGCAGCACAGAAGAGCUUGCUCUUUGGGUGGCGAGUGGCGGACGGGUGAGUAAUGUCUGGGAAGCUGCCCGAUGGAGGGGGAUAACUACUGGAAACGGUAGCUAAUACCGCAUAACGUCGCAAGACCAAAGUGGGGGACCUUCGGGCCUCACACCAUCGGAUGUGCCCAGAUGGGAUUAGCUAGUAGGUGGGGUAAUGGCUCACCUAGGCGACGAUCCCUAGCUGGUCUAAGAGGAUGACCGGCCACACUGGAACGGAGACACGGUCCAGAAUCCUACGGGAGGCAGCAGUGGGGAAUAUUGCACAAUGGGCGCAAGCCUGAUGCAGCCAUGCCGCGUGUAUGAAGAAGGCCUUCGGGUUGUAAAGUACUUUCAGCGGGGAGGAAGGCGGUGAGGUUAAUAACCUCGCCGAUUGACGUUACCCGCAGAAGAAGCACCGGCUAACUCCGUGCCAGCCGCCGCCGUAA